rnacentral:lncRNA from 1 species
CAAAAGUGAAAACCGAAACUUCACACAAAAACAACGCGUUCACUCACUGGCCACUUGUUCACAAUGCCCGAUUUCGAUGACGGUUUUAAUCUGAACCAAAGUGUGAAGGUCUAUAACAGAUUUUGCUCCUUAAAAUGGUGAGUACUAUGAGGUUUUCAAAUGAAAGUAAAAUUACCUUUUCAUGAGUCCUUCCGAGGCCCUAUUGCUUGUUUUUGGAUCAAUCUUCAUGUUCAUCUUCAGAAUCUGUAAAAAGAAAAUAAAAAUGAUAAAUUGAAGAUAAAAUAGCCAGCUAUGAAGUUCAAAAGGGAAAGCCACUUGAAAGCACAUUCUAGAGAAUAACAACAUGGAUGUAUAUUAUACAAGGGUAUGAAACUCUUUUUUAAAGUUAUUACAUAUGAGAAAAGAAUGAUGUAGCAUCCUAAGGUGCGUAAAAUAGAUGCAGUAGGAAUGAUUCGUAUGGCCUCGAUGCAGCAGCAAUCAUUAUUUAUCAGUCAGGAAGUAAGCCAAUCAACAAUAUAAAUAUACAGACACAAAUUCACACAUACACACAAUAAAUCCAUGUCUUUAAAGUCAGAAGUUACUACUGAGAUUGAUUAUUAUCACUUUAUAUAGUUAAUCUGUGUUCUUACGUGCAGUUAUUUCCAAGAACAAAUACAUAUAUAUAUGCUGUACCUACCAGAUCUAACAUCUUCACUAAUUUUGCCUCCAGCUUGGAUUUGGUUGACUAGCAUUCGAUACAUCAGUACCCACCAAUAAAUAUGAAGAACAAGCAGGCAAAAUAGAAGUGUGUUGAACAGAUAAUAACAAAUUGGUCCAACCACU